UACGUAGGGUGCAAGCGUUGUCCGGAUUUAUUGGGCGUAAAGAGCUCGUAGGCGGUUUGGCAAGUCGGGUGUGAAACCUCCAGGCUCAACCUGGAGUCGCCAUCCGAUACUGCUAUGACUUGAGUCUGGUAGGGGAUCACGGAAUUCCUGGUGUAGCGGUGAAAUGCAUAGAUAUCAGGAGGAACACCGGUGGCGAAGGCGGUGAUCUGGGCCAGUACUGACGCUGAGGAGCGAAAGCGUGGGAGAACGG
rnacentral:rRNA from 1 species